UGGGGAAUAUUGGACAAUGGGCGAAAGCCUGAUCCAGCCAUGCCGCGUGUGAAGAAGGUCUUCGGAUUGUAAAGCACUUUAAGUUGGGAGGAAGGGCAGUUACCUAAUACGUGAUUGUUUUGACGUUACCGACAGAAUAAGCACCGGCUAACUCUGUGCCAGCAGCCGCGGUAAUACAGAGGGUGCAAGCGUUAAUCGGAAUUACUGGGCGUAAAGCGCGCGUAGGUGGUUAGUUAAGUUGGAUGUGAAAUCCCCGGGCUCAACCUGGGAACUGCAUUCAAAACUGACUGACUAGAGUAUGGUAGAGGGUGGUGGAAUUUCCUGUGUAGCGGUGAAAUGCGUAGAUAUAGGAAGGAACACCAGUGGCGAAGGCGACCACCUGGACUGAUACUGACACUGAGGUGCGAAAGCGUGGGGAGCAAACAGGAUUAGAUACCCCCGUAGUCCCUGAGCGGGCUGGCAAGGCG
rnacentral:rRNA from 1 species